AUGCAACUACAUGUGUGCUUCAUCACAAAUCUGGCACAAUUGCACCGAAUAUGACUGUAUAACUGUAAGCUUACUGUAUCCACAGGAUUCCCAGUGCAAGGUCUUCUGGUCAUGUGCCAAUACUUGUAAGAACCUGUAAAACAAUGAAACCUAUGGCAAAUCUCGACCUCCACUUGACAUGUGAUUAGAAGAAGCUGAAUGUAUCCAUGGGAUUCCCAGAGCAAAGGUCUUCAGGUUAUGUGCCAGUACCUGUAGGUACCCAGAAAACAAGGAAACUUACUGCAACUCCUUACCAGAUCCUUUACUCGACAUUUUGUACUGCCUAUGAUGAGGAACCAAAAGCACCGACAUCAGUGUCAAGAAGAAAGAUCCAACAGUUUACCAUCCUCCAAAUAAAAAUUCUCAUAACCAGCAGAUGGAGAAUGCUUAUGGUUAUUCACAGCACAAGAUGAAGAAGCAAUGCAAAGGUCAACAGGAAGUGCCAGCUUCUGCUAUGAGAUGAGAGGUGGUGCGGGAGAACAGCAAGGCAUACGUCGAUUGCAUUAUGUAUAGCAAGAGUUCUGAAGGAUUUCCCAACUUUAAGGCUAUUUCUUGAGGUAUUCAUAACUGAAAAAUGUUAAGUUUGCUUGUCUUUUUCCUGUAUUGUUUCUACUGAGAGUAAAAUAAAGAUGUUUUACCACUGUU